CAGUCGCCACGGUAAUACAGAGGGUGCAAGCGUUAAUCGGAAUUACUGGGCGUAAAGCGCGCGUAGGUGGUUUGUUAAGUUGGAUGUGAAAUCCCCGGGCUCAACCUGGGAACUGCAUCCAAAACUGGCAAGCUAGAGUAUGGUAGAGGGUGGUGGAAUUUCCUGUGUAGCGGUGAAAUGCGUAGAUAUAGGAAGGAACACCAGUGGCGAAGGCGACCACCUGGACUGAUACUGACACUGAGGUGCGAAAGCGUGGGGAGCAAACAGGAUUAGAUACCCCUGUAGUCCUGUCUCUUAUACA
rnacentral:rRNA from 1 species